GCUCCUAUAGCUCAGUUGGUCCAGAGCGUGGUGCUUAUAACGCCAAGGUCGAGAGUUCAAGCCUCUCUAGGAGCA
rnacentral:tRNA from 1 species